AUUGAACGCUGGCGGCAUGCCUUACACAUGCAAGUCGAACGGCAGCGCGGGGCAACCUGGCGGCGAGUGGCGAACGGGUGAGUAAUAUAUCGGAACAUACCCUAGAGUGGGGGAUAACGUAGCGAAAGUUACGCUAAUACCGCAUACGCACUAAGGUGGAAAGUGGGGGGAUCUUCGGACCUCAUGCUCAUGGAGUGGCCGAUAUCUGAUUAGCUAGUUGGUGAGGUAAAGGCUCACCAAGGCGACGAUCAGUAGCUGUUUGAGAGACGACCAGCACACUGGAACUGAGACACGGUCCGGACUCCUACGGGAGGCAGCAGUGGGGAAUUUUGGACAAUGGGGGGCAACCCUGAUCCAGCAAUGCCGCGUGAGUGAAGAAGGCCCUUGGGUUGUAAAGGCUACUUUAGCGAGGGAAGAAGGUAGAUACGGUGAAUAAUCGUAGUUU
rnacentral:rRNA from 1 species